rnacentral:rRNA from 1 species
AGAGUUUGAUCAUGGCUCAGAAUCAACGCUGGCGGCGCGCCUAACACAUGCAAGUCGAACGAGAAAGUGGAGCAAUCCAUGAGUACAGUGGCGUACGGGUGAGUAACACGUGGGUGAUCUACCUCUUAGUGAGGAAUAACCCUGGGAAACCGGGGCUAAUACCGCAUAAGCCUGAGAAGGGAAAGCAGCAAUGCGCUGAGAGAGGAGCCCGCGGCCGAUUAGCUAGUUGGUGAGGUAAGAGCCCACCAAGGCAGAGAUCGGUAGCCGGCCUGAGAGGGCACACGGCCACACUGGCACUGAAACACGGGCCAGACUCCUACGGGAGGCAGCAGUGGGGAAUCUUGCACAAUGGGGGAAACCCUGAUGCAGCGACGCCGCGUGAGCGAUGAAGCCCUUCGGGGUGUAAAGCUCUUUCGUCAGGGAAGAUAGUGACGGUACCUGGAGAAGCAGCUGCGGCUAACUACGUGCCAGCAGCCGCGGUAAUACGUAGGCAGCAAGCGUUGUUCGGAGUUACUGGGCGUAAAGGGUGUGUAGGCGGUUCUUUAAGUUUGGUGUGAAAUCUCCCGGCUCAACCGGGAGGGUGCGCCGAAUACUGAGGGACUAGAGUGUGGGAGAGGAAAGUGGAAUUCCUGGUGUAGCGGUGAAAUGCGUAGAUAUCAGGAGGAACACCGGUGGUGUAGACGGCUUUCUGGACCAUAACUGACGCUGAGACACGAAAGCGUGGGUAGCAAACAGGAUUAGAUACCCUGGUAGUCCACGCCCUAAACGAUGCAUAUUUGGUGUGGGUCAUUCAGUUGAUCCGUGCCGGAGCUAACGCGUUAAAUAUGCCGCCUGGGGAGUACAGUCGCAAGGCUGAAACUCAAAGGAAUUGACGG